rnacentral:rRNA from 1 species
GAUGAACGCUGGCGGCGUGCCUAACACAUGCAAGUCGAACGGAGUCCAGCCUUUAAGACCUUCGGGUCAAAGAGGGGAAGACUGAGUGGCGGACGGGUGAGUAACACGUGGGCAACCUGGCUCAUAGAGGGGGAUAACAGAGAGAAAUUUCUGCUAAUACCGCAUAAGCACACACUGCCGCAUGGCAGAGGGUGAAAAGAGAAUCGCUAUGAGAUGGACCCGCGUCUGAUUAGCCAGUUGGCAGGGUAAGAGCCUACCAAAGCGACGAUCAGUAGCCGAACUGAGAGGAUGAACGGCCACAUUGGGACUGAGACACGGCCCAAACUCCUACGGGAGGCAGCAGUGGGGGAUAUUGCACAAUGGGGGGAACCCUGAUGCAGCGACGCCGCGUGAGUGAAGAAGUAUUUCGGUAUGUAAAGCUCUAUCAGCAGGGAAGAUAAUGACAGUACCUGAAUAAGAAGCCCCGGCUAACUACGUG